UUAGUGUCGCAUGACACAAAGUUAAAAGGCGCUUUGGCGUCACCUAGAGAUGGAUCCGCGGUGCAUUAGUUAGUUGGUGGGGUAAAGGCCUACCAAGACAAUGAUGCAUAGCCGAGUUGAGAGACUGAUCGGCCACAUUGGGACUGAGACACGGCCCAAACUCCUACGGGAGGCUGCAGUAGGGAAUCUUCCACAAUGGGCGAAAGCCUGAUGGAGCAACGCCGCGUGUGUGAUGAAGGCUUUCGGGUCGUAAAGCACUGUUGUAUGGGAAGAACAGCUAGAAUAGGGAAUGAUUUUAGUUUGACGGUACCAUACCAGAAAGGGACGGCUAAAUACGUGCCAGCAGCCGCGGUAAUACGUAUGUCCCGAGCGUUAUCCGGAUUUAUUGGGCGUAAAGCGAGCGCAGACGGUUGAUUAAGUCUGAUGUGAAAGCCCGGAGCUCAACUCCGGAAUGGCAUUGGAAACUGGUUAACUUGAGUGCAGUAGAGGUAAGUGGAACUCCAUGUGUAGCGGUGGAAUGCGUAGAUAUAUGGAAGAACACCAGUGGCGAAGGCGGCUUACUGGACUGUAACUGACGUUGAGGCUCGAAAGUGUGGGUAGCAAACAGGAUUAGAUACCCUGGUAGUCCACACCGUAAACGAUGAACACUAGGUGUUAGGAGGUUUCCGCCUCUUAGUGCCGAAGCUAACGCAUUAAGUGUUCCGCCUGGGGAGUACGACCGCAAGGUUGAAACUCAAAGGAAUUGACGGGGACCCGCACAAGCGGUGGAGCAUGUGGUUUAAUUCGAAGCAACGCGAAGAACCUUACCAGGUCUUGACAUCCUUUGAAGCUUUUAGAGAUAGAAGUGUUCUCUUCGGAGACAAAGUGACAGGUGGUGCAUGGUCGUCGUCAGCUCGUGUCGUGAGAUGUUGGGUUAAGUCCCGCAACGAGCGCAACCCUUAUUGUUAGUUGCCAGCAUUCAGAUGGGCACUCUAGCGAGACUGCCGGUGACAAACCGGAGGAAGGCGGGGACGACGUCAGAUCAUCAUGCCCCUUAUGACCUGGGCUACACACGUGCUACAAUGGCGUAUACAACGAGUUGCCAACCCGCGAGGGUGAGCUAAUCUCUUAAAGUACGUCUCAGUUCGGAUUGUAGUCUGCAACUCGACUACAUGAAGUCGGAAUCGCUAGUAAUCGCGGAUCAG
rnacentral:rRNA from 1 species